AGGAGAUUACAAAGGUGGUCCUGACCUUUGAUAAAUCUCAUUAUUGCUUGAUACCAACCUGGGCUAUCUUUAUUGCCCAAACCAAUAGGAUAAUGUGCUGAGGUUAGGGAGCUUCUCCCCUGCAGAGAAUCCCUGAUCUCCCAAAAUUUGGUUGAGAUCUAAGGUUGAUUUUGCUAUACAACUCCUUUUCUGAAGUUUUACUUAUUUCCAACAAGGCAAGUUUUCCUGCUUCCGUGAUGAUGGAGAGCAGGCACCUCCUUUCUUGAGUUUCAGCUUGCUUCUGACAGGGAAGGUGAGUGUAAGUUUUUUCCAGCUUCUAAGAUGGCAGAGAACAAUCACCAGCCUGAGACUUAUUUCCAGCAGAGCUGGAAGCUGUAUCUUCAAAAUAUGUCUGUUUGACUCAAAACAAUCAAGGUAUUCAACAGGAGUUAUUAUGUAUGAAAAAAUACAACAGGAAUGUAAAAAUCUUGAGGAGGCUAAAAAGAUGUUGGAAAAAGUAAUAUUAAAUCUUAAAAAACGUAUGGAAAGUACACAUUGGUGAAGACACAUUGGUGAAGUACAAAAAUAUAAAUUGGAUCUAGAAGAAAGGGCAAUGCAGGCAAUGGAAAAAUUAGUACAAAUCCCUUUACAGGUUAGUUUGUAAAAUCAGGUAAGUUUAUUUAUAAUGUGCUUUCACUUAUUUCACUGCAAUGGCUCUCUUAUAGUAAUUUGCCUUGUAGAGUUCUAGCAAAGAGGUGGCAUCUGUUUUUACUUUUAUAUGUUUAAAUUUCUAUCAUUAUAACAAAAUCGAUUUUUCACAGUAAUGAUUCUCAGUGUGGAGUCAUUUGAUUAUUAAGACCCAUUGACAUGAGAUUACAUCCUCUGCCUAUAAAAAUCCUGGAAGAAAACCUAGGAAAUAUUCACCUGGACAUUGCACUUGGCAAUGAAUUUAUGGGCUGUUUGGAAUCCUGUAGAUAGAGUUUUGGAGAAUUAGACAAAACACUCACAGAAACUGCCAACCCUUGGAUGAAAUAUAUUGUUACUGUGCUUUGGGAUUAAAAUAAGUAACUACAGUUUAUAGAACUUUUAUACUGAUACACAGACACUAAAAAGGGAAAGGGUUUGGAUGAGAAGCUCUGCUCUGCAACCAGGAAUCUCAGCCACUCAUUUCUGUUGGAGCUGCAGGAGCUCCCUGUAAAGAGAGAUUAUGGAGUCUGUAGCUUCAGGAAAGAUACUUAAAACCCUUCAGAGUUUCUCCAUUUUUUCCCAGAGUUUCCCCAAAAAGGUUAUGACAUUUUAUAAGAAUGCUUCACUUGUGAAAAACUAAUACCAAGUCUUCUUGUAAUUUAUAUUUAAGGAUAAAUCUUUAUUCCAUGUUUAAUUUAUUUCACUUAUCCUGUAACUAAUAUUUCAUGCUGAACACAUUUUAAAUGCUGUAAAUAUAGAUAAUAUAAUUUAUGGAUCAUUAAUGCCUCUUUAGUAGUUUAAUGUCAAAAGAAAUGACCCCAGAAUAAGCUUCUUGAUUUGUAAAAUUCUAUGUCAUUGACUCAAGUUUGUAUGGCAUCUCAAAAUAUAAAUAUAGACAUCUCAGAUAAUAUAUUUGAAAUAGCAAAUUCCUGUUAGAAAAGAAUAGUACUUAACUAGAUAAGAAUAACAGGUCACCAUUAUUUGAAUUGUCUCCUAUUAAUUUUUGUUCUGUUGUGUUACUCAUGUUUUACUUAUGGGGGAUAUACAUAACUUCUGCUGUUUUCAGAAUUAUUGUAUGCAGUCAGUAUGAGAAUGCAAUUUUAGUUUCCUUGAUGCUUUCUCACACCUCUAUUACUAGAAAUAAGAAUACAGUAAUAUUGGCAAAGAAAAUUGACCAGUUCAAUAAAUUUUUUUAGUAAAUCUGAUUGAAAAUAAACAUUUCUUACGGCUUUCUUACAUCAAUAUUGUUAUGUCUUAGACUACCGUAUCUGAAAUUAAGGCUUUGAAAUUCUAAUUAUGUGCAAAUGUGUAAAAUAUCAUCACCUAACGCUAUAUAAUAUAUUCUAUUUCUAUACUGUGAUGGCAGGUUUAUAAUUCUGGAAAGAUAUACACAACAUAAAAUUUACCUUUUUAAUCACUUUAAGUGCACAGUUUUGUGGCAUUAAGUAUAUUUGCACUAUUGUGCAACAGUCACCACCAUAGACCUCCAAAACUUGUCUUCUUCUCCAACUAAAAUGCUUUACUCAUUGAACACCAACUUCCCAUUCCUCUCCCUCUCCUUCCCCCUAGCAAUCACCAUUCUACUUUCUGUCUCUACAAAUUUCACUAAGUAACUCAUAGAAGUGGCAUGAUAGAAUGUUUGAAUUUUUCUGACUGGCUUAUUUCACUUAGCAUGUCUUCAAGUUUCAUCUAUUUUGUAACAUGUGUGAGAAUAUAUUUUAAGGCUGAAUAUUAUUAUGUUGCCGUAUAUACCACAUUUUGUUUAACCACUCAUCCAUCAAUAUUCACAUGGGCUGCUCCCUCCCUUUGAUUAUUGUGAAUAAUAUUGCUAAUGGACACGCUGCACAAACAUCUUUUUGGUCCCUCCGCUCAUUUAUUUUGGAUAUGGAUUUGCAUUUUAAUACAAAGGAGAAAUUACACAGCUUUUUAAAAGUGUCCAAAUAAAAAGGAGCACAACAUCAGUAAAAUAUUAGAAAGUAGAUUGGGGGGAAAACAGGGAAGGAAUUGAACCAAAAGUCAAUAAGCUGCAUAAGAGAGUUGCAAGAGGAGGAAAAAAUUGACAAUAUUAACAUAGAAUUAAAGAGCGAUAGGUCGAUAUUUAGAAAAUUGUCGCAUGUACUCAUAUGUCGCCUGUGAACUGACAUUUACAUUAUUUUAUUAUUCCAGGUUUCCAAAAGUAAGUGCAAUAUGAGAGUUUCAUGAUGCUAAGUAAACUGAAACAUGCUAUAUAUUUUGAUAUAUUGUCCUUGAGAGGAGGCUGAGUGGUAAUUAGUGCAAUUUUAAAUUAUGAUAUGAUAAUGCAGUCAAUCUGCCAAACUGAAAAAAAGUAUAUAUACAAUAUGUAUACAUUUCUCGCAAAAUUCAGUUUUAUCAUACAAUUAAAUUAUG
rnacentral:lncRNA from 1 species